AGUUCAUAUUUAUUGUAAUUAAAGUCACUUUACAUGGAGAGGUAAUCAGCGAGUUAAAAAAAAGAAGUAAUAAAAUCCCACAUUCAAAAAAUGAAGUAUAUAAAAGUACACUGAACAUAAGAACAGACUGACCAGGGAAAACACUAAACAUGAUGACAGACUAAUCUGGGAAGUGAACUAGACGGGGUUAAAACGAAGACAACAGUGAAUCUGAUAGGAACACCCCAUCUACCCCAUCCAGUAACCCCAGCCCUCCACUCUCCCUCUUUCUCUCCCUCCCCCUGGGUAACCGGACCCAGAGGCCCCCGGAGGCCCUUUUUGUGCCUGGAGGAGAGGCUUGGUGCUGGCUCGCUUGCUGAAGAGAGAGAGGGUGGUCAGAGAGCAGGAUGGAGAGAAGGAUGAAGAUGGGGGAGGAGAGAGCGAGGCGGAGCUGCAUCUGGAUGCUUUGUCGCCUACGUCUCAGAUCUACCUGCACCUGCAAAUCUCCUGGAACAGUUACAUUAUAAGGUCGACGUUGCUGUUGGACCCCCUCUACAGAAGGAGAUGCAAUGUCAUGUUGAACACCUCAACACAGAAACAACCCCCAAUUAGGUACUUUCCAAUACUGUUCUCCAAAUCAGCCAACGUGUUGUUCCAUGGUCACUCCCUCCCCUGUCGGUCUGUAGUUGGGAGCGUACAGCCCACCUGUUCCACCAGCUGAGUGGUGAUUUGCUUGAGGAGGCCAUCAGUCUGGAGAGCCUAUAUCUGCUCCUCCAGGAGCUCUGCAAUGCAGCAUCACCUGCAGGAAACUCUUCUGGAGGUCCAAUGACAUGUUUCCAUUCCUGGUGCGGAUGCUGGAACAGGCUGGAGACCAACACAGCAGACAGCCUACUGUGAGUGACACUGUGUGUGUGUGGGUGUGUGUGAGCACAAAGCUGACAGCCUACUGUGAGUGACACUGUGUGUGUGUGGGUGUGUGUGAGCACAAAGCUGACAGCCUACUGUGAGUGACACUGUGUGUGUGUGGGUGUGUGUGAGCACAAAGCUGACAGCCUACUGUGAGUGACACUGUGUGUGUGUGGGUGUGUGUGAGCACAAAGCUGACAGCCUACUGUGAGUGACACUGUGUGUGUGUGGGUGUGUGUGAGCACAAAGCUGACAGCCUACUGUGAGUGACACUGUGUGUGUGUGGGUGUGUGUGAGCAAAAAGCUGACAGCCUACUGUGAGUGACACUGUGUGCGUGUGUGUG